GGCUGAGGAGUCGGCAGAGAGAAAAACACCAGGUCAAGCGAGGGUUGAGACAGGGCAGGAUGAAGAAACUUGGAGUAGCUACACGGAGCAAAGGAAAAAAUUCAGCUUUGUUCUCCAGCUGCAGUGAAAUUUGUUAGAUUGCUGACUAAGACUCCCGGGGAGAUUGUAGGAGUCGCAGAGGAUUUCUUAACGCUGUCACCAGUGACUCCUAAACAUCACCACUAAAGGAUCUCUUUAUCAGCCCAAUCCCACAGGCUUCUGAAGGAGGAAGUCAUACCAGCAACGGGAAAGAACCCUAACACAUGGAGAGGGAAGUGAUGAAAUUAAAAAAAAAAAAAAUUCAGCUGUUGAUGAGAAUGAGUUGCAGAACCAGGAGAACUUCCUCUUCUAGUCCUGGAGUGAGAUGAUGAGGUAUAUCCAUCUAAGUUCUUAAAGUGACCUGAGCUAUUCAAUUGCUUCAUUUUCAAGAAUGUGUCAUUUUAAAUAAUACCUAUUUCAGAAAUUCCGUGCCUUUUGUUUUGCAUUUAAUUUCACUUUCUGUGGCAGUAGAAUCUGACAUAAAUUGAAUAAUAUAUUUUUUUAAAGGAGUAAAUCACCCACCGUUUCUUG
ensembl:lncRNA